UCAUCAUAUACCUGUCUCUCUCCUCUCAGCCACCCCCUUCAUCUUUCUCUCUAUUUCUCUCAAACCAUCUCUAUCUUCCUCUCUCACAUCCAUGGGAGACCAAGACUAGACUCAUGGCAGCGUGCGGUUGCUCAGAACGAUGAUGUGCGGUGGUUCGCAGCAGCGGCAUAUGGUGGUCGCAACCACGAUUGGUCGAUGGUGGGCGGAAGGGUGGGGCUGAAUCUCUUUGCCAUGGUUGGUUUUGUAUUCACAUAUUUAAUCUGAAAUAUUAUUAUUUUGUUUUCUUUUUGCAGAUUAGAGAGUAGAGGAAACCCAAAGAGAGAAGUGUUGACCUUGAAUCCACCCACCAUCCAAACUGAUGGAACCGCCUAUUAGGAUCUCUUGAAUGAAGCUUAUGAUCAUUGUGGUGAAGUCUUUGCUGAGUAUGCCAGACUAUUUAAUUGGGCCCCUCCACUUUGAAAGAGAAGGCAGGUGACCACUUGAGCUAAGCGCAACUGGUUAGUAUUAUAACUUCUUAGUUUUAUUUAUAUAAAGAUUGACUCAAAGAGUGGUCUAAUCAAGUCUCAAGAACUUAUCCGUUCUGGUAUGUGACACUAAAAAUUCAGAUUUGAAGAACUAUUAACUAUGAAGUGUGAGAAUUCUUAUCUGUUAUGUUAAUGUUAAUUAGAACAGAUACAGUAUUCUUACUUUGAAAUCAAGACAAUAUAAAGUAAGAUGACUCUCAAGGUGAGAACAUGAGAGAGCUUUAAUGCACACAAAAGAGGCAUCAAGAAUCACUCUGCUGCAAGCUUCAUGGCUUGUCAACCUCUUACUACAACGUGGAUACACUGUCAACCUCCAUCAUGAGUCGCAUCUUGUCUCUCUCAUUUUUUAGCUAUUCUACUGCUGAGCCUCUGUUUAGAUUGAUAAUGGGAUUUUCAGUGCUUAAUUUGGAUGGGCUGCCUGGUCUUGCACCUUUUGAGGUAUGUUUUUGUGAUAUGCCCUAUAUUUUUUCUGCAUAUGAACUUUUCGGACGUUCACCUUUCAACUUUAGAAUUUUAUUGAUGCUUCAUAGCUUUAAGAGGUUUCCCCCGAAAAAAGAGAGGAAAAAGUGUAAUCUUUUAGAUGUUGUUUUAGACAUAGUUCACACUUCACAUAAGCUCAUGUUUUGUUGUAGGGUUGUGUUGGACAUAAUGUCCUUUUAGACGAUUCAUUGAGUAUUUUUUCUUUUUAUUUAUUUAUUUGUCAUGUAAUGUUUGAACUUCUCUGCAAAUAUGUACUGCAGCACUGAUUUUUGUUCAAUUCUUUGAUUGUUGUUGUUUUCUGUUCUCUUAGACUUGUAAAAUUGUAGUGACAACUAAACCUAAGAGGCAUUAUUGUCUUAAAACUUUUGAUUGUUUGUCCUGUAUAUGAGACAAGAAUUUUGUAUCUAAUUCGUUUUGCGUGUGAGUUGUACUGGCCAAAUGUGAGAUUUAAGUUGAGAUCUGGAAGGAGUUUUACCAUAAUGAGUAGAAAUGACUUCGUGGAAAACUUAAAAUUAGGAUCUACUUUAUGUUUGGUUCUUGUGGGCUUCUUACUUAGGGAUAGUUCAAAAGUGUUCUUCUUCUUUGUAUUUUUUUGAGCUGAAAGCAUGCUGUAUAAACUUUAUUGCAUGGUCCUCUCUUGAUGAUGCCUUGUCUUCUGUUUUUAUAAGUAUUUUGUCUUUGUAACAAAAGCCAUCUUUGAGUUGGUAUCAAGUCUCAAUUCUAUUUUUUGUGUGAGUGAACUGGAUAUCAUCAUUAUUUUUUUUUUCUUUUUGACUUGGGGAGGGUGGAUUUGAACUUGGGACCUCCUCUUGUGAGGACUAAUGUAUUACCACUAGGCUAUUUCUAUGGCCACAAUAUUAUCAUUCUUUGUCUCACUCUCACUUUCCUGUAGGUGCAAAUAUAUGUGUUUUUACAUUUGCAUUUGCACCAUUGCAUGUUCAUUUGUGUGUUUGGAAUUUGUGCACGAGCUAAUUACUCUCUUGAAUAAAUAAAAGCAUUUCAUUUCUUGGUUUUCUUUUAAAUUAUGGCUUUCUAUUUUUUAUAAUUUAAUGAUUUGCUUAUUUGGAUCAAUCUGAAUUGUUCCCCGGAUUCCCAUAUAACUAGCUGCAAAUUGAAGUUGUAACAAAGAGCUUUCACCAGUUGAAUAGAGAACUACCUGGUGCAACAUCAGUAGAUGCUUAAGGUGAGGCCCAAUAUUUAACCAAGGAGAUGUUCAAGAAACCAUUUCUGAGAUUUUCAACAACUUUCUUUUGAUUGGAAAA